UACGGAGGGUGCGAACGUUAAUCGGAAUCACUGGGCGUAAAGCGCGCGUAGGCGGUCUGUUAAGUGGGAUGUGAAAUCCCCGGGCUUAACCUGGGAAUUGCAUUUCAAACUGGCCGACUAGAGUACGGUAGAGGGAGGUAGAAUUUCCUGUGUAGCGGUGAAAUGCGUAGAUAUAGGAAGGAAUACCAGUGGCGAAGGCGGCCUCCUGGAUCGAUACUGACGCUGAGGCGCGAAAGCUAGGGGAGCAAACGGG
rnacentral:rRNA from 1 species